rnacentral:lncRNA from 1 species
CGCUAAUUUUCCUUCUCCGGGCGCUGUUUCUUUUCCCCCGGCGCUUUUUCUAUUCCCGGGCGCUCUCGGGCGCUCCCGGGCGCUUUUCAGUAGGACCGCACAACACUAAAAUGUAACACACACAGAAACGGACCAAACAUCAGACAAAAUCCCACGAGAAUAACAAAUAUAACAUCAAAACCAAAUACAUGAAUUUGGGAUAGACAAGUACCGUGACACGUCUUAUCGCAAUAGAAAUUACACUAAAAAAUAAGAGAAAACAAACG